UACGUAGGGGGCAAGCGUUAUCCGGAUUCAUUGGGCGUAAAGCGCUCGUAGGCGGCCUGUUAGGUCGGGAGUCAAAUCCCGGGGCUCAACCCCGGCUCGCUCCCGAUACCGGCAGGCUUGAGUUUGGUAGGGGAAAGUGGAAUUCCAAGUGUAGCGGUGGAAUGCGCAGAUAUUUGGAAGAACACCAGUGGCGAAGGCGGCUUUCUGGGCCAUAACUGACGCUGAGGAGCGAAAGCUAGGGGAGCGAACAGGAUUAGAUACCCUGUAGUCCCUGAGCGGG
rnacentral:rRNA from 1 species